rnacentral:rRNA from 1 species
UGGGGAAUAUUGGACAAUGGGCGAAAGCCUGAUCCAGCCAUGCCGCGUGUGUGAAGAAGGUCUUCGGAUUGUAAAGCACUUUAAGUUGGGAGGAAGGGCAGUAAGCGAAUACCUUGCUGUUUUGACGUUACCGACAGAAUAAGCACCGGCUAACUCUGUGCCAGCAGCCGCGGUAAUACAGAGGGUGCAAGCGUUAAUCGGAAUUACUGGGCGUAAAGCGAGCGUAGGUGGUUCGUUAAGUUGAAUGUGAAAGCCCCGGGCUCAACCUGAGAAAUGCAUCCAAAACUGGCGAGCUAGAGUAGGGCAGAGGGUGGUGGAAUUUCCUGUGUAGCGGUGAAAUGCGUAGAUAUAGGAAGGAACACCAGUGGCGAAGGCGACCACCUGGGCUCAUACUGACACUGAGGUGCGAAAGCGUGGGGAGCAAACAGG